rnacentral:lncRNA from 1 species
UGUGGGAUCUUCUGAUCAAUCUUUUCAAAUAUAUCGAUCAAAAUAGUGGUCGGCCGAAGCAUGGAUCGAUGGUCGAUGCGAGUAUCAACGGCCGAUGCAUGGGUCGACGAUCAAUCCUUGAUCGACCUGACCAAGGUUUGCCAGCAUUUUCAAUUCGAGCAUCGGAGAUUUUUUAUCCAUAUUCCAUAACAAGAAUAAUUAAGAGGCACAAAGAAAGUUCUUGCACAGGAGGUAAGAGUACGUUCAGGAGGGAGAGAAGGGAAGGAGGGUAGAAAAUGGAAUGCAGUCGUAAACAAAUUGAAGGCAUCCGGUAGGAGAGGAUAAAGAAAAGAAGAGGUGUUCUACUAAUGCUCACUUAAUGCACUGCCUCUUCACUACUCUCACUUCAUCUCCCCUACAUCUUCCUCUCUGCCAAGUGCUUCAGUAAAUUCAAUUUGCCAAAAUUUUAGAUCUUAUCCAAACCGAAAUCUUUUAAUGCUGUAAUAAAAAAGAUACCUGCAUUUGGCUCAAAUCUGACUUCUAUUUGGUCACUAUCAGCUUUCCUCCAGUAAUUAAAGAGAGAAUCCUGAUGAAGGGUGAAAAAAAUUGAAGAUAGGCAGCAACCUCGGGAUGAGGG